CUGUGUGUCUAUGGUGGAGAAAGAAACUGCAACUUUUCCAGGAUCAAACAUUCCUGUAAAACUUCCAAUUCCCCGAUUGGAGCCUGUUCUGAAACCAACACAGGGAAACAGAAGAAGACCCAGGAAGAAAUCCAAGUUGAAAAGAAAGAAUUAGAUCGAGUCCGGAAAAAAACCAGGGUGGAGGGAGCGAGCUAUUUCUGCAGAGUUAGCCAUUUCUGCUUAACUAAUCAGAAACUGUCCCAGACACACAGGAAUAUGGAGGAAUCAUCUUUCAACAAUAAUGUAUUUACCUGUGCAAAUAAAUAACAGAUUUAUUUCACCCAUAUGUCAAAUAAACCAUAUAUUUAAUAA